UUAACAGUACACCAAUGCUUAGAAUGAAAAGAUGCAGAAAAACAAGAAUUAUUCAAAUACAAUAUAAAGUUGAAUUAUGUAAAGUCGUAUAUUUUCUCUCAAGAUGCUUUGGCUACUUAUCGGCACCAUCACAUAAAUAUAGCACUAAAUUUGUGUAAUAGCCCUUCAUUGAACUUUUGUAACUGAUAUAAACAGUUGAACUUGAAGGAUGGAAGAAAACAACUCAGAAAAAGGGAAUCUGAGGCUGCUACAACUAGACCAUAACGGCCUAUGGUUCUAUGUAUGAGAUUCAGAAUUAGGAGAUGCGUUUGGGACCAGUACGGGUCGUAGCCUAUGCUAUGGAAAGAUCAUAGUGGUCUCUGUUUUUUGUAUCAGAGGUCACUCUCUUGUGUCGUCUUUGCGCAUUCUGCCCCGAUUUGCUUUCAAUUUGCCAUCUUUUUUCUGGAACACCUGAAACAUGAAGAAAACAGAAAAAUGAAAGUAAAAUGCACAAAAAUAAAGAUCAAAAUAGUCAAAUUUAAACUGAAAAUUCUUAAGAAAAAGUAGUCAAAUACCAUUGA
rnacentral:lncRNA from 1 species